rnacentral:rRNA from 1 species
UACGUAGGGACCAAGCGUUGUUCGGAUUUACUGGGCGUAAAGGGCGCGUAGGCGGCAUGACAAGUCACUUGUGAAAUCUCUGGGCUUAACCCAGAACGGCCAAGUGAUACUGUCACGCUAGAGUGCAGAAAGGGCAAUCGGAAUUCUUGGUGUAGCGGUGAAAUGCGUAGAUAUCGGGAGGAACACCUGUGGCGAAAGCGGCUCACUGGACCACAACUGACGCUGAGGCGCGAAAGCUAGGGGAGCAAACAGG